rnacentral:rRNA from 1 species
AGUGAUUGAACCUGCGGAGGGAUCAUUACCGAGUUAUCCAACUCCCAACCCCUGUGAAUUAUACCUUUAAUUGUUGCUUCGGCGGGACUUCGCGCCCGCCGGGGACCCAAACCUUCUGAAUUUUUUAAUAAGUAUCCUCUGAGUGGUUAAAAAAAAAUGAAUCAAAACUUUCAACAACGGAUCUCUUGGUUCUGGCAUCGAUGAAGAACGCAGCGAAAUGCGAUAAGUAAUGUGAAUUGCAGAAUUCAGUGAAUCAUCGAAUCUUUGAACGCACAUUGCGCCCGUCAGUAUUCUGGCGGGCAUGCCUGUUCGAGCGUCAUUACGCCCCUCAAGUCCCCUGCGGACUUGGUGUUGGGGAUCGGCGAGGCUGGUUUUCCAGCACAGCCGUCCCUUAAAUUAAUUGGCGGUCUCGCCGUGGCCCUCCUCUGCGCAGUAGUAAAGCACUCGCAACAGGAGCCCGGCGCGGUCCACUGCCGUAAAACCCCCCAACUUUUUAUAGUUGACCUCGAAUCAGGUAGGACUACCCGCUGAACUUAAGCAUAUCAAUAAGCGGAGGA